rnacentral:tRNA from 1 species
GGAGACUUGGGGGAGCGGUUUAACCCAGCGGUCUUGAAAACCGCCGGCCCGCAAGGGCCCGUGAGUUCGAAUCUCACAGUCUCCGCCA